CGGCCGCCCCUUUACGGAUCCUUGUCCCAAUGUUUUAUGGCCGUCGCUGCUGCUCACUUGUCCUGGAAACCCAACCGGAGGAGCAGGAGCACCUCACAGAUGACUGAAACUAGGAGCCCACGACCACAACACGUCCAAAGAUAUCUUUUUCCGGGGUAGUAGAUCCAUCCAUCUCUGCGCCGUGUGUCCAACAUUGGCCACAAUUGGGUAGGACGGACGGACACACUUCAACUUUUCCUUGGCAGAAGAGUGUUGGGGGGAAACGAUCGAGCCAUCCGGUGCAACAAGAUGAAAGAAAAAAGCAGCAACUGGGCAAUUGAUGAUGCUGAUAGGCCCCUUUUCGAUACGCACUACCCCUCGCCAUGAAUCCCAGCACUUCACAGGUGUGCGCACCAUCUCAUAUAAAUAUAACCCUCCACAUAUGCUCAGCAGUUUACAAUGCGUUUCUCCCCUUUGCGGCUCUUUUUUCUUUCCUAUUUAUUAAA